UUGAAUAACUUGGUUUGUUGAGCUGGCCCUUAUCGGGGCAUGUGCUCGCACCAUAUUAUUUACCUAUCUCUUGUGCACCUUUUGUAGUCUUUGAAGCGUUCGCAGUCAAUGCGGUUUGGGGCUUGGGCUUUUACAGUCCUUGUCCUGUUUGCUUCAAAGGCUAUGUUUUCAUACACACUAUUGAAGUUACAGAAUGUCUCUUAUUGGCCUUUGAGUCAGUAAAUCAAUA
rnacentral:misc_RNA from 1 species